rnacentral:rRNA from 1 species
UACGUAGGGUGCGAGCGUUAAUCGGAAUUACUGGGCGUAAAGCGUGCGCAGGCGGUUCGUUAAGUUCGUUGUGAAAGCCCCGGGCUCAACCUGGGAAUGGCAAUGGAAACUGGCGAGCUUGAGUGUGGCAGAAGGGGGUGGAAUUCCGCGUGUAGCAGUGAAAUGCGUAGAGAUGCGGAGGAACACCGAUGGCGAAGGCAGCCCCCUGGGCCAACACUGACGCUCAGGCACGAAAGCGUGGGGAGCAAACAGG